rnacentral:rRNA from 1 species
AUUGAACGCUUGCGGCAGGCCUAACACAUGCAAGUCGAGCGGAUCACGGGAGCUUGCCCCUUGAUUCUGCGGCGGACGGGUGAGUACUGCCGAGGAAUCUGCCUCGCGGUGGGGGACAACGUUUCGACAGGUACGCUAAUACCGCAUACGCUCUACAGGAGAAAGCAGGGGACCUUCGGGUCUUGCGCCUGCAUAUAAGCCUAGGUCGGAUUAGCUAGUAGGUGAGGUAAUGGCUCACCUAGGCGACGAUCCGUAACUGGUCUGAGAGGAUGAUCAGUCACACUGGAACUGAGACACGGUCCAGACUCCUACGGGAGGCAGCAGUGGGGAAUAUUGGACAAUGGGCGAAAGCCUGAUCCAGCCAUGCCGCGUGUGUGAAGAAGGUCUUCGGAUUGUAAAGCACUUUAAGUUGGGAGGAAGGGCAGUAAGUUAAUACCUUGCUGUUUUGACGUUACCGACAGAAUAAGCACCGGCUAACUCUGUGCCAGCAGCCGCGGUAACAC